rnacentral:rRNA from 1 species
UAGUCACGGUGCUUUUUUCGGAAGAAGUAACCCGGCGGACGGCUCAUUAACACGUGGAUAACUUGCCCUUGGGUUCGGGAUAACCCCUGAGAAAUUGGGGACAAUACCGGAUAGGGCAUCGAUAGCUGGAAUGCGCGAUGUCCAAAAGCUGAGGCGCCCAAGGAUAGGUCUGCGGCCGAUUAGGUUGUUGUUGAUGUAAUGGAUCAACAAGCCUGCAAUCGGUACGGGUUGUGAGAGCAAGAACCCGGAGAUGGGUUCUGAGAAAAGAACCCAGGUCCUACGGGACGCAUCAGGCGCGAAAACUUUACCAAUUGUGCCCAAAACCACCAAUAGGG